GACGAACGCUGGCGGCGUGCUUAACACAUGCAAGUCGAACGGAAAGGCCCUGCUUUUGUGGGGUGCUCGAGUGGCGAACGGGUGAGUAACACGUGAGUAACCUGCCCUUGACUUUGGGAUAACUUCAGGAAACUGGGGCUAAUACCGGAUAGGAGCUCCUGCUGCAUGGUGGGGGUUGGAAAGUUUCGGCGGUUGGGGAUGGACUCGCGGCUUAUCAGCUUGUUGGUGGGGUAGUGGCUUACCAAGGCUUUGACGGGUAGCCGGCCUGAGAGGGUGACCGGCCACAUUGGGACUGAGAGACGGCACAGACUCCUACGGGAGGCAGCAGUGGGGAAUAUUGCACAAGGGGCGGAAGCCUGAUGCAGCAACGCCGCGUGCGGGAUGACGGCCUUCGGGUUGUAAACCGCUUUCGCCUGUGACGAAGCGUGAGUGACGGUAAUGGGUAAAGAAGCCCUGGCUAACUACGUG
rnacentral:rRNA from 1 species